rnacentral:tRNA from 1 species
GAAUUGGUGAUUCAGUGGUAGAGUUCUCAGCUUCCAUGUGAGAGACCCAGGUUUGAUUCCUAGCUAAUGCA